rnacentral:rRNA from 1 species
AGUGAACGCUGGCGGUAGGCCUAACACAUGCAAGUCGAACGGCAGCACAGUAAGAGCUUGCUCUUACGGGUGGCGAGUGGCGGACGGGUGAGGAAUACAUCGGAAUCUACUUUUUCGUGGGGGAUAACGUAGGGAAACUUACGCUAAUACCGCAUACGACCUACGGGUGAAAGCAGGGGAUCUUCGGACCUUGCGCGAUUGAAUGAGCCGAUGUCGGAUUAGCUAGUUGGCGGGGUAAAGGCCCACCAAGGCGACGAUCCGUAGCUGGUGUGAGAGGAUGAUCGGCCACACUGGAACUGAGACACGGUCCAGAGUCCUACGGGAGGCAGCAGUGGGGAAUAUUGGACAAUGGGCGCAAGCCUGAUCCAGCCAUACCGCGUGGGUGAAGAAGGCCUUCGGGUUGUAAAGCCCUUUUGUUGGGAAAGAAAAGCAGCAGGUUAAUACCCCGCUGUUCUGACGGUACCCAAAGAAUAAGCACCGGCUAACUUCGUG